UAAAAUGAGUGAGGAACUGAGAGUAAAAUGAUUCCCAGAGCUUUAGUGUUUGGAGGAUUAGACUGAUGGCAUGAAAAUAAAGUUACUAAUGUCUACUAAUUUUAGUCUAAAUAUGAAAGUUAUAUUUAGAUUAUACAUGACUUAAUGAAUUAUCUGUAAAAGGGUGAGGUGUUCACUGUUAUUAUAUAAAAUGCUUGUAUGUGGGCAUAUUUCUGGGGCCCUGCAGCGAACCAACCGAGGGGCAUUCCCUCCCCCGAGGAACGGUAUCAGACCCGCUUCCACUACCUCGCAAUGGGCCCCGCCCCAUGCUUGGGACGGCCCUGCUGGUAGCCACAUAAUAUAAAUAUAUAACAAAAUAUGCACAUAGCCCUAAAGAUUAUACAUUCCACACUCAAUAUACUGUCUCUGCAUGUCAGCUACAUAUAUAUUUCCCAUUCUAGUGUCAAGAUGUUUAUUAUUGUGUCUGUGACUAGAUGCAGUAAAAUAAUUAUGGAGUGGGAGCAUCACAGCAGGCGAGUCACAGACUGAGGGAGACAGUAACGGCAUCCGCAGACGUAUACGGCUUCUCCUAUCUGCCUGGAAAAGCACCAGCGGUGAUUGUGACUGCUCUCGGCACUGCCUCAGCUUUGGACAAAGAGGGCAUUGAGGGAAGUGGAAAGGGAAAACUGACAGGCCUGAGAAGAGCACCAUCUCAGAUAGACCAUCUCCAGGAAACCAAAGGAAGCCAGACAGAGACCCAAACCCUGCAAGACAUACACACAGACAUACCAGUAUCUAGAACCCUGUAAGUGCAAUCCAAACACACGCUGCAGGUUCAAGAUGAAACACUCGGUUCAUUACAUUGUUGUUUUGGCCGGGAUAUGUCCUCAUCUAUGAGGGGGUGUACUGUGGUCUGGGCCCAGGAAGGGAAAGAGAUUCUCAUUCAUGUGGCAGCGCACAGCACAGUCACAGUUUUCCACAGGGAGCUCAGUGGACACCAUCUUCUACCCAUCCUGUAUCCUUUAAGACUAUGUUUGCACUGGUCUGAACCCAAUUAAACCACAGUCUCAGGAAGUGAUUCAGAGUGGUGUGUGUACCCUUCCUGCAAGUGUAGGAGUACAGACUGCCGGUCAGCACAAAUAGGCUAACUUUUAAAAAGUGAUUUUUGGAUUCAUGUAGAGGAAAUUUGUAAGGGUGGCUUGUAGUUCACAAAUCUUUUUUUUGGAAAUGGCCCUCAAUAAAUGGUCAAAGAGUGAUGCUGUCAAACAUUCUUCAGUAGACAUUGACCUCUUCAUCUCAUUCCACACGCUUUCCUGUAAUGUCCAUUACGUUAUUUCCAAAAGUUCUGAGAAUGUUCAAAAUGUUUUUGUAAUGUUUAGAAACACUUUUCCUAGGUUAUAUGACGUUCUGAAUAACAUUCCAUUGGGUUAAACAGGAUUGCACAAAAUUAUAUUCUAACAAUAGUAAAAUAAUUAAACAAUAGAACUAAAGAAACACUCUAUUAAACCAAAGUCUUAUUCAAGGAAAGACAGUUCACUCUGGGACCAUAUUUGCAACUCUUAUCUUCUUGAAUGGGGAAAUUAUUAUAAAAUCUCACAAACUGAUGUUUAUUUGUUACCAUUCAUAGUAAUAUGAAUAUAAUAUACCGCCUUGGUGCAGUAUAUAUAUAUAUAUAUAUAUAUACAGUCUUUCAUUUAACUAAACUUGUUGAUUCAACAAUGGUCAAACUUCCCUGUAGUGACUUUUAAAGAACGGUGCACUAAUAAUGUAUUAAUAAUGUUAAUAUUUUAAAAACGUACAUAAAGUCUGAUAGUGUUAAAGAUUGCUCUGUCAACAUUACUGCAAGAUUGUUUUGUUUGUAAAUUUUGACAACUUUCUGAUACUGUUCCCUCUUAGCUAGGCAGCAACUCUAGCAUUUUAAAAUCAUCUAUGCGGUCAGUUACUUAUUGAAUGUACAUCAUCUGGUCCACCAUCAUUGUGCAAAGGUAAAUAUUGCUUAAUUAUUAGUGUUUACCAUGGAAGACCUUAUAGACCCCCUCAUCACAGGGCCUGGGACAAAAUUCUCUCGAUGAUGUCUUGGCUCUGUCACACACACCAAUAUCAUUACAUCUGAUUUUAAAAGAGCCUUGUAUUUUACUCAAAAUAAGAGCAACCCUUCAUUAAUCUUUUAUUUAUUAACCCGAAUUUCAACAUUGCGCAUCUGUAAUCGUUAAAAAUGUAGGUGAAAGUACAGUUACAGCAUGCACUUCACUCUUGCUGAUACCAGCUGUUUGAAUGUAAACACACUAAGAAAUUUGAAGCAUGUAAAUAAUUUUUUAAACAGUCCACACAUUUAACACAGGUUAUGAGUGAGACAGAAUAACUGAAGCUUUAAGUGUUGCAUUCUGUCCUGCAUUCAAUCUCUGUCAAUGAAUCAUUGGGAGAAAAAUUCAUGACUCACCCCAAAUGUCUGUUAUAGUGUUAAAAACAAUGAUCAUUUCCAAGAAUAAAGGGGCCUAAAUAGCAGAAACUGAUGACUAGACACAUUUUGUGUUCAAGCAUGCAGUUCUUUUUAAGCAACCUUAAUAUCUGUUUAACUGUUUUAAUCAGCUAUUUAAGUGAGUUUAUAUCUCUACAGUGACAUGCAUCGUUCAUCUGAG